CACGGGGGGAGCAAGCGUUGUUCGGAAUCACUGGGCGUAAAGGGCGUGUAGGCGGUUCGGUAAGUGAGAUGUGAAAUCCUCCGGCUCACCCGGAGACCUGCAUCUCAAACUGCCGGACUAGAGUAUGGGAGAGGACAAGGGAAUUCCAGGUGUAGCGGUGAAAUGCGUAGAUAUCUGGAGGAACACCGGUGGCGAAGGCGGCAUCCUGGACCGGUAUUGACGCUGAGGUGCGAAAGCGUGGGGAGCAAACAGG
rnacentral:rRNA from 1 species